UAGCGAAGGGGGCUAGCGUUGCUCGGAAUCACUGGGCGUAAAGGGUGCGUAGGCGGGUCUUAAGUCAGGGGUGAAAUCCUGGAGCUCAACUCCAGAACUGCCUUUGAUACUGAGGAUCUUGAGUUCGGGAGAGGUGAGUGGAACUGCGAGUGUAGAGGUGAAAUCGUAGAUAUUCGCAAGAACACCAGUGGCGAAGGCGGCUCACUGGCCCGUUACUGACGCUGAGGCACGAAAGGCGUGGGGAGCAAACAGG
rnacentral:rRNA from 1 species